GGCGGCUCCGGGCGCGGAGUGUGCGGGGGAAUCGGGGAACGGCUCGGCUUCAAAGGGACCGUAAAGCCCGUCUUAUUCCAUCCUUCGUAAAUGCCUGCCGCGGUUAAAAAUGAGAGGCUCCCAACGCUUCCACAACGCCAGCGUUUCAAACAUUUUGUACACAUUAACUGUCACGUGCAGAGCACAAUCACAGCCGACUAGACGAUUAUUAAAGAUGCCAAAUUAAUAUAAAAUAUGAAGCUGAAACUCCAAAUAGCAAUUCCAAGCUUCAGAAGCCAAAUCCGAUAACAAAUAACAAGCAUUUACAACACCGUGCUUUCCACCCGGGUGAUAUCUCAGCUUACAAACAAACACAUCCUGGGACUGUCUGGGUGUGAUGGAAUCACUGAAUCAGAAUAAAGAACAAGGGAGAAGAGACAUAGAAUUGUAUCAUAGAAUCCCAGACGGGCUUGGGUGGGAGGACCUUAAAGCCCAUCCAGUCCCACCCUCCUGCACGGGCAGGGACACCUCCCGCUAUCCCAGGGUGCUCCAACCUGGCCUUGGGCACUUCCAGCGAUGGGGCAGCUACAGUUUCCGUCCCAGCCCCUCACCACCCUCACUGGGAAUUUCUUCCCAGUAUUUAAUCUAAACCUGUUAGAAGCCAUUCCCCUUCGUCCUGCCCUUAUAAAAAGUCCCUCUCCACCUUGCUCGCAGGCUGCCCUCGGGUACUGGAAGGACAAGCCUCCCUCACCCCCCGACAGCCGCCUGAGGGUAUAGACAGAAGGCAGCUCCAGAGAGAUACAAGUAUUUUGGCCUCUUCAAGCAGUGUCUGAUAUAAAAUCUCUUCAUACACAUUCUCUACUUGGAUCACACUCGUGUAAUCAGCAAAAAUGUACUGCUCGUAUUUCUGCAGCUCCUGUGCAGGUGGAGAAGAAAGGAACAGACAUAGAAAACCCCGGGAUUCUCAGAGUCCUACAGCAACCAAACACCCUGGAGAUCCAUCCAGCAGGUCUUGCAGUGCUCCAUGUGAACUAUGACUAAAAAACUACCUAUGUCCUCAAUCUAUUAUGCGCUAAUCAAAUAGUAUUCCUGCAGUAUAACCACAUUAAAAGCACUACAGAUCACUGCCACCUGAAAUAAACAGCUGGGGAGGAAAUGCCUCACUAACUUGUUUGUCCAAGGAGGCAAAUCCAUGGUGCAUGGGAGAUACAGGGUUUGAGGUUGUUUUUCUAAUAGGUGUGUAACACUUUUACUCAGUGAUUUAUAUACAAAGGCUGUCUAGACAAUAAGUGAAUCAUUGUUAUUAAGCAGCUGCUUGGUGGUCUAUAAAAAGUAAAUUAGGUGACCUUCCAGAAGAGGCACCUAAAUAAAAACUCCUGGAGAUUUUCAAGGGAAAGGUCAGAACUUGGCUGUGCCUGUCAACUGUGCUGCACUUUUACUCCCAGAGCUCAUUUCUGCAGAGGCACAAACACAAAAGGCUCGUGGGAAAUCAAAUAGACAGGGCUUGUGGGAAGUUUGCACCACCACAGCUCCCUCUGUCCUGUAGGACAGAGACAAGAGCUGUCUCCACAGAUAUUGCAGGUGAUGAAAUGCUUGUUCCUGUGUGUAGACACCCUGUCAUAAAGGCACUGCUGAUGCUCUACAAGAAACUAUUUGGGGAUAGAGGGACAUACAGAAAAGAUUGGUUUAAAAUAUAUUCUUGGAAGUUUCGAGUUUUAGUAUUCCAUAGUUUAAAGACCUGUAAGCAUAACUUGGCAGAACAUUUGUUUUUAAACUUGGCUUGGAAACUGAAACAAGCUGGAGAGCAGAAACAAGAGCAGCACACCAUUGGUGAGAGCUCCCAGCAUCCAGGAAUGGAUGGACAUCAAUGGAAACAGAAGGGCAGGGAGGCUGGGAUAGCUUAGGCAGGUACAGUGACAAUGCAGGAGGUCACCCACAGGCUUCCAGAGGGUUCAGAUUAUUUAUUCUGAGCCAAGGUGAACAGCAUUCCAACAGGCCCCUGAUGCUGCCACACUGAUAACAUCUACCAUCUCAACAAAGCUCUGACAGCCACAUCUGCUGACUGCUAACACGGCCUGUAUGAUUCAGGGCAACAGAGAUCAUCUCUGUGUGAUUAUUUCUUGUUUGUUGACUCAAUACUUCCAUUUAAAAGCACUGACAGCAAGGGCAUGGCCUGGCUCCUGCCACUCCUGCUGCCCCAGGAGGCCUUGGGUGCUGAAGGAGGUUGCUGGCAGAGGCUGUGCAUGUUCCCAGCUGUGCCUUGGGGUGCUGCUGAAGAGGAAUGAACACAAGGACCAGCUCGUCACCUACAUCCCAACUGCCCAGAGGAGUCCCAUCUGGGGGACUUCAGAUCUCUAGGGAAGAAAGGAACCAGGGAUGGGCAAAGGACUGUCACUACCUUUGAGCAAGCAACCUGUACCUACUGUUUCCCUGUUUCCUGAAAUCUUCCUUAUGCCCCACACCCACCCAAUCCAUGAACUGGCAAAUCUAAGCCUGUUUGGCCAAGCAGGCAGCCAACCUGCACAGCCCUCUGGGAGAAAACAGCUACAGUGUUAAGGACUUGCUGACAAGGCAUUAUUCCUUCCCCGCCUUUUAUUAUCCGGGUUGGGUAUUUUUAAUCCCAGAAACCUACUGGUUUGCAUGUUGAAGCCAGGCUCUUCUGCAUUGUGGGCAGGGUAAUCUGUACCAGUGCUUCUUGGAAUAUCUUCUUCCUGAUGGUGCUGCUGUCAUAGUCAUAUUGCUGUCAGAACACAGAACAGAAACAAGCCAGGACGUGCUUGGGGUUAUUAAUCACUCACGCGAGGAACUGGUUCUUGUUAUCCUGUCACUGGUGCAUCAGAGGUGCACUCAGGGCUUUGAACUGCCAUGCAGGUUAUUCCAGCUUUUGCAAAACCACUCUAAAAUCUAGAUUUCUGGCAUCUCUUUCCAUUCUUGUUUUUUUUAUACUUAGGCUAGAAACAGCCCCUGAUUGCCCUCCCCGGGUAUUUCAGCACCGUCUCUUCCGAGAGGAACGAAUUCUAGGGGCAGGCUAAUUAUACAGUUAAUUAAAACUUUUAUAUCCAGAUUCACGGCAUCAUCAUAAUCUGAUUUAAUUGCAAUUAAAGGGACUGCACAUGCAAGUACUUUUAAAAUGGUCUGCCCAGAACUAGGUGUUACCCCUCAAAGGAGCAGUUUGCUACAUGCCACUAAAUUAGAUUUUCCAGCUGGCUGGUAGGAGAUAUCUCCUUUCAAAUACAGAGAUAAAUUCAUAUAAAAUAUAUUCCCUUUUCCUAAAAAGGCAGAACCCAAGGACUUCCUGUCCAGAAGUGCUACACAAAGUUUACCUUCAGCACCCUCAGCUUGACUUUUUCAAUGGUUGUUGCCACUUUGGCCAAGUCUGCCUGGUGACUUGGAGAGAAGAGCUGCUCAAAAGUAUAAACUGCAUUUUCCAUCAGCUGAAAAGAACCAUUUAAAAGAUCUGUUAAUAAGACCGGUCACAUAAAAUUCAUGCAAACUUGAUAAAUGUAACUGUUAAUUUGUGUUUUUGAAAAGGUGAAACAGAGAAAGAAUAACGGGCCUAAGAUCGAUAAAUAUUUCAGGUCCUUUAAAUGACUGUGGAAGGGGUAGAAGAGCCUUGUUUAGAUUGCAACACUCAGUUUUGGAACGGGAAACCAAAAAGAAGAUUAUCUAAUGCAAGAGAAUACAAAAAUGUAACUCCCUCAAUGUCUAUCUCGAGUUUACAGCAGGUCAAUACUACAAGUCUGCUCAUGUAACUGAACAGUUCUAUCAGCAAACAUACUCAGAGUGGAUUAAUUUAUAUUGUCCAAACAUUUUCUGCUGCAUUUCAGUUCUCUGAAGGGCAACAUGCACUGAAAAUGCUGCAAUAAAUAAAGAAAACUAAGCCUUGGUAUCACUGUCAUGCUGUCACAGCUUUCUUGCAUAGAUUUGAUCUCAUGUCACCACCCA